rnacentral:rRNA from 1 species
CUCCCGCCGGCGACCGGCGCACGGGUGAGUAACACGUAUGAAACCUGCCCGUAGCAGGGGGAUAAGCGGAAGAAAUUCCGUCUAAUACCGCGUAACAACCCGAGGAGGCAUCUCCUCGGGUUUAAAGGAAGCGAUUCCGGCUACGGAUGGUCAUGCGUCGCAUUAGCUAGUUGGCGGGGUAACGGCCCACCAAGGCGACGAUGCGUAGGGGUUCUGAGAGGAAGGUCCCCCACACUGGUACUGAGACACGGACCAGACUCCUACGGGAGGCAGCAG